UACGUAGGUGGCAAGCGUUGUCCGGAUUUAUUGGGUUUAAAGGGUGCGUAGGCGGCAUUUUAAGUCAGUGGUGAAAUACUUCAGCUUAACUGGAGAGGUGCCAUUGAUACUGGGAUGCUUGAGUACUGAUGAGGUAGGCGGAAUGGACGGUGUAGCGGCGAAAUGCUUAGAUAUCGUCCAGAACACCGAUAGCGAAGGCAGCUUACUAAGGAGUAACUGACGCUGAGGCACGAAAGUGUGGGGAUCAAACAGG
rnacentral:rRNA from 1 species